UUGGAAAAUCCUGGAACCUUGGGAAGGACGAAAUGAGGCCCAAAAACCAUGUCUGGGGACCUGUGGGGUGGUCUUCAUGAAACGCCCACCAUGAAAGGCUUUCAGCUCCAAGAAAGGCACUGGCACUCACACUUGGGGGGCUGAUGACUGCCACUGUCCAGGAGGCUAAAGGAAGAAAGGCAAACUCAAAAAAAGACAACCACCAUCUCUUAUGAGCGGGCCAUACAUUUCCAACACAAUGGGUCCAGAUCAGAAGUGCAGGCUGUGCUCCCAGAACGCUUCGAAGUUGCAUACAAGCGCAGAAUUAGACCACAUUUAAAACGUGGUAGAACUUGGCUGAUUUGCUCCCUCUUGGCCAUCCAUUUGAAGUGUGCAGUGAGGACCCCAAGUCCUGAUCUCAUCAUUCAAGAGAUGUUAAAAUGCCUGUGGUGAAUCUGACUUUAAUUUACCAUGACUGCUAAAACAGAGGCUUUGGAAACUAAAGCAGUAGCAAGUCUCCUGUGUGAGGCCAGAGCUCUUGAGGGGGCGUUUAGCAGCAGCAGAUUUUACACGUAUGAAUCCAAAAAAAUUAACGCGUCUUAAAUAUUUCUAGCAACCUUCCAGGUUCCCAGUUCAUGGCUCAGCAGGGGAAAGGCAAGGGGCUCGUUCAUUCAUUCAUUCACUAUAAAAGGAUUAAAAUAGACCUCGGUUUUUCUGGCUUCAACCCUUGCCUCCUUUUUCCUUUUUCUUUUCUCACCCCUGCCCCAUCCCCUACCUUUUUUUGCUACCUCCCCUUCCAUGAACCCUGACUAACAGACAACCCACAGGCUUAUAAAAACAGCUCUUGAAAGAACAGUUCUGAUGGUUACUGGGAUGAGAUUGCUCCAGUGCUCCCAAGCAGGAGGCAUAAAAAACCCAGAGCAAUCUCCAGCUGCUCCAAAGGCAGAUUGUACAGCAGUUAGAGAUACAGAAAAUUGCAACCUCUACCAGACCACAAGGGCAGGCCCCCAUUCUUCUCAAUCUUUGAGACCCCCAAUACUGCUUCAUCUUGGGGAGUUUCUGGGUCUUCAGAUCUAGAUUCUCAUCAGCUGAAUAAAGCCUUUAACCUGUAUUUGGAUCACUUGAACUAUUGAUUUUUCCCUGACAGAACAAAUGUGUAUUGACCAUCUCCUCUUGCCAAGUACUUAUCCAGGUGCUUUGGGUAUGUUGGGGCUCAGAAAAAAAUAUGCCAACGUGAAAAACUCAGAAGCAGCCUCAGAAGCAAACAUUUUUCUCUGACCUUCUCCUGCUCUCUUAUCCCUCAGUUCCUUUCUCCCCCAAGGCAGGGUCAUAGAAACCAGAACCCCCUUUCCCCAAAGCCAGCCAUAAAACCGAAAAAAGCCUUACUCUAACUUUCCCUCUGCCUUACUAUGUAAAAACUGGCCAUAAAGAAAUUAUCCGACUUCCCUUGUUUAGGUCAUUAGACUGCCAUUCCAGAGAAGGAGGAAAUGCAUUCUCAGAGAAGCCAAGAAGAAUCUUAAACAGGCCGUGCUGGGCUUCCCAGCUCAGUCUACAGCUAGCAUUAGAUGUAACCCUUUCUGCCCAAUCAUAUUUCGACACAAUUGUCCAGACUUUGUUGAACCUAAGCAUAAAAAUGGAUAGUUCCUCUGUUAUCCUUGAGUCUUCAUUCCGAAGGCUCCUGUGUAUACACAUUAAAGAAAUUUGCAUGCCUUUUCUCUAAUCUGCCUUUUGUGAGUUGAUUUUUCCACAAACUUUCAGAGGGCCAAAGGGAAAGCUCUCUCUUGGCCCCCACAGCUCUAUCAGUGAGCAGAGUAAAGAAAAGACUUCCUGCUCUCAUGUAGUCUACAACCUGGCCAUCCACAAAACCAUGGGCUGCCUGCUUUUGGUUGGGACAGCGGUUUUAUAUAGGGGAGCCAUAAACAUAAUGAUUGAAGUAGAAUUCUAAGUUUCUAGGCCCACUGCCCAUUCCCCAAAUAUUGUUUAUGACCAUAAUCUUCUCUCUGACUUCCUAUUUUCAUUCUAAAUUGGAAUAAAUGACUUGGUCUUUACCAAACACUGCAUGUUUCCGAAAGGACUUCCAAAAGGACUUUCCAGAAAGUACCAGACUCUUAGGAAUGGCAUGUGGUGGGAGAUUAAAAAUACAUUCUUAAUUUAUUUGAUAGGAGCAAUGGGGAGGUCAAAUAGCUUACUGAUUUCUCUAAUUAUGUGUCUAAAUCACCAACUCAUUGUGUUUGCUAAGAAUUACUAACACAAUAAAUGAAGGACUACC